GGGGAAUCUUAGACAAUGGGCGCAAGCCUGAUCUAGCCAUGCCGCGUGAGUGAUGAAGGCCUUAGGGUUGUAAAGCUCUUUCAGAUGGGAAGAUAAUGACGGUACCAUCAGAAGAAGCCCCGGCUAACUCCGUGCCAGCAGCCGCGGUAAUACGGAGGGGGCUAGCGUUGUUCGGAAUUACUGGGCGUAAAGCGCGCGUAGGCGGACUGGAAAGUUGGGGGUGAAAUCCCGGGGCUCAACCUCGGAACUGCCUCCAAAACUAUCAGUCUGGAGUUCGAGAGAGGUGAGUGGAAUUCCGAGUGUAGAGGUGAAAUUCGUAGAUAUUCGGAGGAACACCAGUGGCGAAGGCGGCUCACUGGCUCGAUACUGACGCUGAGGUGCGAAAGCGUGGGGAGCAAAC
rnacentral:rRNA from 1 species